rnacentral:rRNA from 1 species
AGUGAACGCUGGCGGCAGGCCUAACACAUGCAAGUCGAACGGCAGCACAGCAGUAGCAAUACUGUGGGUGGCGAGUGGCGGACGGGUGAGGAAUACAUGGGAAUCUACCCUGUCGUGGGGGAUAACGUAGGGAAACUUACGCUAAUACCGCAUACGACCGAGAGGUGAAAGCGGCGGACCGCAAGGCGUCGCGCGAUUUGAUGAGCCCAUGUCGGAUUAGCUAGUUGGCGGGGUAAAGGCCCACCAAGGCGACGAUCCGUAGCUGGUCUGAGAGGAUGAUCAGCCACACUGGAACUGAGACACGGUCCAGACUCCUACGGGAGGCAGCAGUGGGGAAUAUUGGACAAUGGGCGCAAGCCUGAUCCAGCCAUGCCGCGUGAGUGAAGAAGGCCUUCGGGUUGUAAAGCUCUUUUGUCCGGAAAGAAAAGCUCUCGGUUAAUACCCGGGGGUGAUGACGGUACCGGAAGAAUAAGCACCGGCUAACUUCGUGCCAGCCGCCGCGGUAAUAC